CUUCACCAACCAGAAAAUGGAACAAGAAAUGCCAAUCAUAAAUGAAUAAGGGAUGUGUAAGAGCCAAGCUGAUGCAGACCGGCAGGCAGAGAACAUAUAAUGCUAAGAAUGCAUGUCAGUCAAAUCCAAGCCUCACAUGCCUCGCCUGUAAGAGGGGAAUGACCUACACCACCACCUCAUCUUGUAAAAUGGAGAUGACUGGAGAGAAGGUGAAGUCCUGGACAAAAGCAAUCUGCUCAAUAAGUGAUGCUUGCUAUAGUUCACAUGACAACCAAACAUCCCUCCCAGGAAAUGAAUCCUCCCAGGCAUAGAGAGGAGCCGAGGAAGGAAUCCAGACAGAGACCCUGAGGGGAAGACUGCUGAUCACCUUGACAGGUGUGACUCUGAGGCACCAAUCCUUGUGGACUGCAGAACAGCAGCAUCAAGGAGCUUGGAGGCGAGUGUACCUACUACUGAUGCUUUGCUACAUGGUCAUGCUGUCAGACUGCCUUCUAAGUAUUUAUGUUCAUGGCUACAGAUUAGGGCUGCCCUCAACCUUAAUCAGAGGACCUUCUAUGGACAAUGGGCAGCAGCCCACGCAAAGACUCCUAACUACUCAGUGUUGAAAAUGAGCGGCAGUUCGGUGUUCAGCCCUAGAUGGGAUAUUUAUGCUAUUACCAUCCAGACUC